GCAUUUGAGAGUGACGUUGUUAGGACUGUAUGCAUCUCCUUGACCCUUCUAGAACCCCUCUCUCCGCACACUUCCUCAUUUCUCUACCCAAACGACACCAUUUUGCCUCUUGCUCGCUGGUUGCACUGCUAGAGCCACCUCCUUUCUUCUUUAUCAGUCAUGUUCCUACGAGGCCGCUACACUCCUUCAUUUUUGUCUUUCACUUCCUCAAUCUUCUCCUGUCUUUUUUCUUUUUUUCCUCUUAUCUUUCUCUUUCUUCCUUUAUUUCACUUUUUAGUUGGACAUUUUCUCAAACAGUUUUUAUUCAAGCUUUAGAUUUUGAUUUUUUUUAUUUUUUUUAGUGGAGAUAGGUAAACACAAGAUGUACAGGUUCUUAAGGAUUGUUCGAUUUGCGUUCCUUGCAGGUAGUUUUGGACACUUAUUGGACCCAAUGGAUGUGGAAAAUCUACCCUCUUGAAGUGGAGAUAGGCAAACACAGGAUGUACCGAUUCUUUAAGGAUUGUUCGAUUUGCAUUCCCUACAGGUAGUUUUGGACGCUUAUUGGACUCAAUGGGUGUGGAAAAUCUACCCUCUUAAAGAAGAAGAUAAGAAUGCUUUUGGAAUGACUCAGUCAAAAGAGCUGGCAACAUUGCUUGAAGCAGAGAAGAUUUCAUGUGGUAAAUCUGAAGUGGAUUUCAUUGUCUCUUUUUUUUAUGGUAAACCCGAUUU